rnacentral:rRNA from 1 species
AACGAACGCUGGCGGCAGGCUUAACACAUGCAAGUCGAACGCCCCGCAAGGGGAGUGGCAGACGGGUGAGUAACGCGUGGGAAUCUACCCAUCUCUACGGAAUAACUCAGGGGAAACUUGUGCUAAUACCGUAUACGCCCUUUGGGGGAAAGAUUUAUCGGAGAUGGAUGAGCCCGCGUUGGAUUAGCUAGUUGGUGGGGUAAAGGCCUACCAAGGCGACGAUCCAUAGCUGGUCUGAGAGGAUGAUCAGCCACACCGGGACUGAGACACGGCCCAGACUCCUACGGGAGCAGCAGUGGGAAUAUUGGACAAUGGGCNCAAGCCUGAUCCAGCCAUGCCGCGUGAGUGAUGAAGG